AAACUCAAAGGAAUUGACGGGGAGCACCACAACAGGUGGAGCCUGCGGUUUAAUCGGACUCAACGCCGGGAAACUCACCAGAUAAGACAGCUGAAUGAUAGUCGGGCUGAAGACUCUACUUGACUAGCUGAGAGGAGGUGCAUGGCCGUCGUCAGUUCGUACUGUGAAGCAUCCUGUUAAGUCAGGCAACGAGCGAGACCCACGCCCACAGUUGCCAGCGUACUCUCUGGAGUGACGGGUACACUGUGGGGACCGCCGCUGCUAAAGCGGAGGAAGGAAUGGGCAACGGUAGGUCAGUAUGCCCCGAAUAUCCCGGGCUACACGCGAGCUACAAUGGUUGGUACAAUGGGUAUCUACCCCGAAAGGGGACGGGAAUCUCCUAAAACCAAUCUUAGUUCGGAUUGAGGGCUGCAACUCGCCCUCAUGAAGCUGGAAUCCGUGGUAAUCGCGUUUCAACAGAACGCGGUGAAUACGUCCCUGCUCCUU
rnacentral:rRNA from 1 species